CUGGUGUCAGCCGCCGCGGUAAUACCAGCACCUCGAGUGGUCAGGACGUUUAUUGGGCCUAAAGCAUCCGUAGCCGGCUUUGCAAGUCUUCGGUUAAAUCCACCUGCUCAACAGAUGGGCUGCUGGAGAUACUACAAAGCUAGGGAGUGGGAGAGGCAGACGGUAUUCAGUGGGUAGGGGUAAAAUCCUCUGAUCCAUUGAGGACCACCAGUGGCGAAGGCGGUCUGCCAGAACACGUUCGACGGUGAGGGAUGAAAGCUGGGGGAGCAAACCGGAUUAGAUACCCGGGUAGUCCCAGCUGUAAACGAUGCAAACUCGGUGAUGCAUUGGCUUAUGGCCAAUGCAGUGCCGCAGGGAAGCCGUUAAGUUUGCCGCCUGGGAAGUACGGACGCAAGUCUGAAACUUAAAG
rnacentral:rRNA from 2 species